CGACCAUGGGCGACGAUUCUC
rnacentral:siRNA from 1 species